GACUUCUCAUCUUCAGUCUAUGACGGUCUUCAAGAUCAGCCCUGGCUGUGGUAAAGCCCAGGAUGAGCAAGCUCAGUGAGCCCAAAAGACUGGCAUGAGGGGUGCACAGUUUUUUGGCAGGGAAAUAAUUCAAUUGAGUGCAUCUGCUCCAAUGCCUGGCAAAAACUGGCAGGUACCAGGCUGGCUCAUACUGCCAUGCCACGCAAAGGGAGCUUGCUGCUGCAUGCAGAAUGUGUCCCAGGCAGGCAGAGAGGUUUUACAGUUUCCUCUCCUCACACCUCCUGACUGACCUCAGUGUGCUUGCCACACCAUCACUUCAGCCAGUCAGCUCAGGCAGCUAUACCCUUUUGCAGCAAGCCAGGACACAGAGAUCACAGCGCAGUGGCUCCCAGAAGCAUGCUCAGGGACUGUGCCUGCUACAGGCCCCAACCACAUCAGCUGCCAGCACUCACGCUGAGCUAAUCCCAGCCACAUGGGAUUUGUGCCACAUGGGAUUCCCAGUCCCAUGUUCCUCUAGCUCUUCCAUCUCACACUACUCUACCAUUUCUUCAUGCUACCACCUGACACUGGGGAACAAGCCCUCAGAAUAACUGUCUUGCACCUGAGAGCUGUGAAGCUCUGCAUUGUGGGAAGGGAGGAUGCAGCAGCUGCAAGAGAGAGGAGCAUGAACCAGGUGGGAUAGGCCAGGCUUUCAGGAGCUGUAUAGCAUCACUACACCAUCACUAACUCAGAUGGUUCUAAAGUAUACCACUGAUUACAUCUUGAGGAUCUGCUGGGUGGGCCUCUCCCAUGAUCCUGGAUCACGCAGGAGGAUCUGCUGCCAUUUCUUUAAUGAGUUUGAAACAUGCCUGCCAUGAGGCUGAGCUUCGUGAUACUGCAGCAGUCCUCAGCUCUCCUGCCUUUGACCCCACUGUCCUGUUGUACACCUCUGCUGGGCUUCACUAAGCCAUGAGCUUUCUCUGGAUACAUCAUACAUCACUAACUCAUCCAGUGUCUAGGAGCUCUUCCCCAUCUAGUAGUUCUGAAUCUGAAGACAAACAGUGCUCAGCAUGAUGAACAAACACGAGCUUUCUUGAGACAGGAAGUGUCAAAAGCAUCCAGGAAGCUUGCUAAUCCAGUUACUGUACAGCUGAUUUUGCAGCCACCAACACAGGCAAAAUCCUCACUCAACUGUAAGUUUUAUGUUCUGUAGUAGGAGACAUCUGAUCUCAAACACAUAUUUCCCUUUGUGUUUUACUCACUGCAUCAUAUUCAUUAAUUUUAUAUUAUGUGACAGUCUUAUAUUCCAAUAGAAGCAAUAACAGACAACAAUGCAAGGAUUAACAUUUAAGGGGCACAUACUGUGGAUGACUAACUUCAAGUCAUUCUCCCAGUGUACAAUUUCUGUGACAGGCAAUGUUGCACUUUGGAAGAGUUUUUGGCAUGCUGUAGAUGUCUGGAGAACCGGCAAGAUUUUGCAUACUUUCAGCAGGUACAGCAAGAAUACUCUGUGGCUCCCCCAAAAUGUAGAAGUGUGACAUUACUGUCACAUCAUUCAGAAGAAUGAAAAGGGGAGCAGUGGCAGUACAGGAAAAGCUGUAGUACUCUCGGCUGUUACAUUUGUCAACAGGUUAAGGAAAUAGCAAGCAAGGUGAACGUGAAAGGGGAAGGGGUAAAGGGGAACUAGGUAUUUCUAUUAGUUAGGAAAGAUUUCACAUGUUCACAUACACGCAUAUUUUCCAUGCAUGCUCUGGAAUACUGUACUUGGUAUAAAGAUUCUGUUUCCUGGCAUGCAACACGGGAUGCGUGCGUCAGACACCCUAUUUUUAUCUUUUUCUCUGUGUAACACAGUCCCAAAGCUGAAGCUCUUCUCAUAAUACCUCAGUGGCUGAGUACGGGUGACAAAGGCUGCCCUCAGCUGAAGGAUUCAUAAAAAAAAAAGAUGUGCCUUUCCUAUCAAGUAUGCUUUGCUUGGCAAUACCCAGAUCCAAGUGGAAAGAACCAUACAUUCCCCUGAUGUGGAAGUCUAAAGGGACUUUGCUCCAACUAAGGAUCAAAUGCACAUUUGAAUGAGUUUUUCUUCCCCAUAAAGGUGAGAAUACAGCAACUACCUGUUUUAAUACAAAGUAGAGAUGCAGGAAAAACUUGAGUAUGUAGAUAAGACCGCUGUGGUCAAUGUUAUUGGUUUUGAAGUGAAAGUAGGUCAUGGUCUCCUCUCUUGACUGACCACUGACUAACCUGCUCUUUUCCUUUUUGAGCAACACUGUAAAAAAUAUUUGAACUAGUCUCCAAUGAUAUUUGCAUAUGUAUUGUCUGAAGCUGCCAAGAUCAAAAUCAGACUUAAUUGCGGGCCUGUUUUAUACUCCUCUCAUUCUAUCAAAAGCAAUGCAGUCACCAGUAAUUAACGUCCAGAACAGGACUGAUCACGGUUAAGCUCUUCAUCAUCUUACAUCAUCUUACGCAAGAGUGAGAGAAGACUGCACCGCCUGGGUGACUACUGCACCACAGCAAGCUUUCUUUGGAAUUCCUAAACCUCUCUGUCAUCGUUUUCACAACACCCUCUCUCACCAACACCUCUUGGCUCUCAUUAGUAAAUUGCUGCUCAUCUUGCUGCAUGGUGCCAAAGAAAAUCCCAGCCUUUCCCUUGGAGUGCACAAUGUGGAAUGGGCUUAUUGUUCCAGCACGUCCAGGCAGUGUGGUACUGAAUGCCAGGAGGCGUUCCUCUGACAGCCAGCAAAUCACAAGGAAAACAGAACCAUUUCUCCCAAGCAGCAAACAUCUGACUGUGAGGUAGCACCUGAUUUAGACCUACAUCAAUCAUAAACUGAGGUUUAUCGCAAACAUGAGCAUACCCAACCACAGGGUGUUCCUGUUGUAUCCAAACAAGGUGCCUGGUACGUAUCUACAAAAUUUGGCAAUCAGAAUUGAACAGACCUGAAAACAAAAAGCAGAAGAAGCUGAAGUGUUUUUAACAUAAACAUCAGAAAAACAACAAAACCUCUCCAACCUCACUGCAGCUACUGAAUUGUGAGGAAUUUUUUCAGAUGAUGCGCCCCAUCCAAUAUCUCAAAUGCUAUUUCAGAAACAACGAUUAUUCUAGAGACUGCAAGGAAAACUUCCACUAUUUAAGCUAGGACAUUUAUUUUAAAAGCUGAAAUAUCCUGUGUGCUUCCGCUGAAGUACUUUGUGCUUUUGGCAUGCUGAAUUAUCUGCUGAAAUGCUCAGAAAGCUACCUGUCAUAACUAUAAGUUCUCUGUGCCUGGAAAGGCUCCUGGAGGCCGCUGAAAGAAUGGUUCCAUUCUGGUGGGAGACAGGGAGGCCAUUAUGGCCAGACGCACCAGCCAGGUACACCAUCUGCACCCACUGACACAAUCAGGAGAAAAAGGGCACUACUCUAUGGAAUUACUUUUCGGUGCACUUACAGGGAGUUCUGGAAAAAGACCACAGGCACACAUGCUUCUUUUUUGCAGGCACCUAAACCAGUACGUUCCCCAGUCUCUAACUCUGUAAAUAUGUUAAAUGAGUGUCGCUGCUGAUUUAGGGCUUAAUCCAUUCCAAUGUUUUCAGGACAUCAGUUCCCACUAAUACCAGUGUGGGGCACAACCAGCGACUUCAUAUCCAUCCUCUAAACUAGUCAAGAGCUUGUGCUUGAUAUUGUCCAGGCUAUUAAGUGCUGUGUUCUUCAUGAUAAUGAUGGGCAAAAAAUCCAUAUGUAACAUCUGUAUCAGCAAUCAGUUUGUAAAUUUGUGUGCCUGUUCUUUGUGUAUUUGAUACAUAAUCAAGUCUGUGUGAAA